rfam:Schistosoma haematobium scaffold347_25, whole genome shotgun sequence.
GUUCAGCUGACGAGCCCCAAAUAGGACGAAACUCUCGUCCUGGAU